CUCAACCACUGCGCCACCAGGGAAGUCCUCUAGUUUAUUUCUUACUUGCAUAUCUUUAAAGAUUUUCAGGUCAGAGAUCCUAUCUUCUAACUUAAAAAAAAAUUCAACCAAAACUUCUAGUACUCACAUACUGAGUUCAGGCACCCUGAACUGUUCGUUGAAUGAAUGAUCAUUGUGUUUGAAUGAAUGAUCAUUGUGUUUACCACAAUGGAAUAGGAAUAGUAAACUCAAAUUUAGUUUUAAUGGUUGAUAAAUACAAUGAUGGGCUUAUAGAACUUUAGGGGUCUUAAGAGAACAUCUCACCACGUCUACUCCUUUUACAGAUGAAGAAACCCAGAGAGGGGAAUGACUGCAGCAGAUUGGACAUCUUCUCUAACGUUCAGGCCAUACUCUUUAGUUUUCCAGUUUCAGUAACGAUGCAUCACCACUCUUGACACCACCAAAAGCCAACAAAGAAAAUACUUUGACGGAGGGAAUAAUACCUUCUUAUUCUUUGGAAGGCAGCUGAGACUGGUGGCAUGGACAAGACUUCUGGAAGCAGGAUAUCUGUAUUUUAAUGAGAUUUGGGAGAGAAGACAUUCUACUCCUGGAUGACGGUGCUGGCUUGUGCCCACGGAGUGUCGUGCUGCUCAUGACGCUUCUGUCCUGAUGGCCGGGCCUGUGGGUUUCUGGCUUAGCUGAUUUAGCCCUCACAAAUAACCAUCUGCUGACCAGUCUGCGGUUAAAUGAAACAUCCGCUUUGCUUUCCUCUACCAAUGGACUACAGAGAGUAAAUACACAAAUUGAACUACUUUGGAACUGAUAUUCAGCAAUUGAGUUCAUCCAGCCAGACUCUGGUCAGUAGAGCUGAGUUAGCAGACGUGAUUUCGGUUCCCCACGUCCUGUGUAACAGAGCACCCUUCAGCCUCUCCUGGCAGACCUCUCUAGCAACACACUCUGGAAAUGAUCCCUUGAGGCUCCUAUCAGAUGUCAUGAAGAGGUGAACUGAAAUACCUGUCCUGAUGGUGGGACCAGGGCAAGCAUGGAUGGUGCUAUUAUUGCACAGGCACCAUAACGUGCUGGAGAACACUGAAAAGUGAGCCUCACCAGUAACUAGUUUUGUGAUGUUCGGUGUUGAGGAUGGAGGGCGAUGCUGUUGAAAUAGAAUU